rnacentral:rRNA from 1 species
UAGGAAUCUUCGGCAAUGGACGCAAGUCUGACCGAGCAACGCCGCGUGAGUGAAGAAGGUUUUCGGAUCGUAAAACUCUGUUGUAAGAGAAGAACGUUGAUGAGAGUGGAAAGUUCAUCAAGUGACGGUAUCUUACCAGAAAGCCACGGCUAACUACGUGCCAGCAGCCGCGGUAAUACGUAGGUGGCAAGCGUUGUCCGGAUUUAUUGGGCGUAAAGCGAGCGCAGGCGGUUGAUUAAGUCUGAUGUGAAAGCCCCCGGCUCAACCGGGGAGGGUCAUUAGAAACUGGUCAACUUGAGUGCAGAAGAGGAGAGUGGAAUUCCAUGUGUAGCGGUGAAAUGCGUAGAUAUAUGGAGGAACACCAGUGGCGAAGGCGGCUCUCUGGUCUGUAACUGACGCUGAGGCUCGAAAGCGUGGGGAGCGAACAGGAUUAGAUACCCUGGUAGUCCACGCCGUAAACGAUGAGUGCUAAGUGUUGGAGGGUUUCCGCCCUUCAGUGCUGCAGCUAACGCAUUGAGCACUCCGCCUGGGGAGUACGACCGCAAGGUUGAAACUCAAAGGAAUUGACGGGGGCCCGCACAAGCGGUGGAGCAUGUGGUUUAAUUCGAAGC